AUGGGAGAGGCUCCAAAACCCACCCAAAUCCCGACCCUCGGCCCCGAAUUUUGGCGCUUCCUCCUCCUCCUGCUCCUCGCGCGCGGGCCACGCCCGGAUCCGACGCCUCAUCCCCACGUCCCCCUCUGUCCCGCGGGGCUCCGGGCGGCCGUGACCCUGCUGGAGUCCGGGGGGGACCUCCAGCCCCCCGGGGGGUCCCUGCGCCUCCUCUGCCGCGCCUCGGGGUUCACUUUCGGGAGCUACGACAUGCUCUGGGUGCGCCCAGAGACCCGGGCAGGGCUGGAGUGGCUCGCGGGCAUCUACAGCGAUGGUGCUUACACGCGUACGCGCCGUCGGUGAAGGGCCGGUUCGGGAUCUCCAGGGCCAACGGGCAGAGCUCGGUGACGCUGACCAUGAACGGCCUCAAGGACGAGAUUCCGGCUCCUAUUUCUGUGCCAAACGUGCUGGUGCUUAUGCUGGUUAUAAUGAUGCCUAUGGUAUUGGCAUUGGAGAUUUGGGGCCAAGAAUUCAAAUUUUGGGGGCCGAGAGUUGA